CAGACCUGCUGCUUAAACUCCUGCCCUCCGUCUCCAGGCCGCAGGCGUCCACUCUGACCGUUUCCCUCUCGCUCUCCAGCUCCCCCUGCCGCUCAGCGUGACUUCCCAGAAUCCCCUGUGGCGUGAGAAGAGAAGCAGCUCUGGUUUCUGAUUGCACCUCAGCGUCUGAGUGGAGGAAUGACAGCUGAGGAGGUGAAAGGAGUCACCAGAACCUCUCCAUCCGGCGGCCGGCCCCAGCCUCCAGCGCGGCGCGCUCCAGAGAUGAAGUCCAGAGGAGCUUCAGACGGGAGGAAAACGUUUUUUCAGCUGUUUUGGACCAGAGCUCGUUUUUUUGGUCCGCACCAGAAGUCGAUUAUUCACGCCUCCCCAAACGAACCGGGCUUUCUGGGUAAACAAACUGGAGUUUGAACUCUUAAAGUUUAUCAAGAAAAGCCAGAAGACGUUAAUGAGAAAUCUAGGAGACGCAGCGAAUGGUACCCUGCACAGAAAAGGUUGUCACUCCAAUCCAGUGCAGUUAAACAAAAGAAAUGAAAGUAAUUUUUUAAAUUUAUUCUCAUCACAUCACUGCUGGGACCAAAUGGUUUCAUAUUUGUUAUGAGCUGCAGUAGAGAAACCAGCUGAUGGUCAUUUACUCAAACAUCUGGUUCUGGCCUCAAGUGGAAUAAAGUUUAAUAGCAUCUGGCUGCUAAUAAAACAACAAAAGCUCA